rnacentral:rRNA from 1 species
CACCACACCACUACCUCUACCCCUUAUCUCUUUCCCCUCCCGAUCUGAGCGGCGGCGGCGGCGAUGACGUUGACGCUCGCAUUCGGCGACGCUUCCCGCACUCUGUCCAUCUCUUCCUUCCCACCACUCCAUCACCAUCCCCACAUCGCUGCUGUUUUCCCAUGUGGAGGUGGUCCUGUCGCGCCGAUGCUCUCACCCAGCUGCCGUCGGCGGCACUUCUUGUUCGUGCCCAGGCGCCCGUUGCGGUCAUCUCUCCCCUCGCUCCCAUGGAGCCACUGCCCCAACCUAUACCCAACUCCCUCUCCCCCCUCCCAUGGUAGCAGAUCUGAGCGGGACAAGGUCCCUUCGGUCCUGGUGGUUCGGAACGAGGCAGGCGGCUUCUGCUCCCUUAUCUUCUGGCGACUAGGAGUGUGGCCGGGUGAAACGAACUUGAAUAGGUUUGGUGGAUGUUUGGGCAAUUACUCAACUAGGAGCACUAACUAAAACAGAAGGCCACUGAAACUUUAGUAGAUUUUUGUGGUUCCAGUGUAAGUAUUUAUUUUAUUGUUUCAGCAUUAUACAUGAUUAACGCUUUGAUAGUAAGUGUAUGAAUACAUGAUUGAUGUACAUUAAUCCAUGAUUAUUUUCUUUGGGAGAUUUUCUGGAGAUUUUCUGAAGUUGGCUCAAUCGACACAUGGUGUGUCAGCAUUUGCCUAUUUACCUCAAGGGCCUGCCAAGAGUGUUGCCAAUACCAGCGUGCUUUUUGCUACAGAAAUGGAUUUUUGAACACUUGUAGCACAUGGUGUCCUGGGAAUCCUGGCUAUGUAAAUUUCACCUGCUAGCUCAUUAUCAGGGGAAGUGUUGGUCAUGCUAGUGUGCAUACUCACUUGGGAAGAAAUGGAAGUAGGAGAGAGCAUAUCAUCCAAUACUAAGGAUUUCAAUUAUCAUGGUGUAUUCAAGUCAAAGCUAAAUAGUAGUCUACAUCCGCCUACCUUGGCAAGGAUACCAGGAACACUAUAUGCUCAGCAAUCGUACAAAGUAAAUGAUGCAUUUCCUUCCAAAUGGAUAUACAAAAAGUUGAUUGAGGGUUUUUAUGCCACAUCCAUGGUUACUGCUGGAAGUCGAUUGGCAGUCUUCAUGUACCGAUAUGCUAUUUUUAUAGAUUAGGAAGCAAACACAAGGAUGGACUCACUAUGAACCAUGAAGCCAGCGAUCCACAUCAACUGGAUGUUUUAGCUCUCAUUUUGUAUAUCUGAUGUAUCAUAGUUGCAUCUUCUAGCUGUCCUUCUGUGAACCUGAUGUAUGGUGUCUUGACGGUUAUGUCUAGAACAAAGUGAAGUGUAUGUACGUGACAUGGUGUCUUGAUUGUUAUGUCUAGAACAGACUGAAAUGUAUGUAUGUGACAGUUAGUUAAAUGGAAUAAAAAAUGGUUGGUGGACCUGAUGUAUGGUGUCUUCUUGACUAUCCUUAGAAACAUGAAUUAUAUGUAUUUGACAAUCUGUAGCA